GUUGUUGCAGUUAAAAAGCUCGUAGUUGAACUUCAGACCUGGCCGGGUGGUCUGCCUCACGGUAUGUACUGUCUGGCUGGGUCUUACCUCUUGGUGAGCCGGCAUGCCCUUUACUGGGUGUGUCGGGGAACCAGGACUUUUACCUUGAGAAAAUUAGAGUGUUCAAAGCAGGCCUAUGCCUGAAUACAUUAGCAUGGAAUAAUAAAAUAGGACGUGCGGUUCUAUUUUGUUGGUUUCUAGAGUCGCCGUAAUGAUUAAUAGGGAUAGUUGGGGGCAUUAGUAUUCAGUUGCUAGAGGUGACAUUCUUGGAUUUACUGAAGACUAACUACUGCGAAAGCAUUUGCCAAGGAUGUUUUCAUUAAUCAAGAACGAAAGUUAGGGGAUCGAAAACGAUCAGAUACCGUUGU
rnacentral:rRNA from 1 species